rnacentral:rRNA from 1 species
GACGAACGCUGGCGGCGCGCCUAACACAUGCCAGUCGAACGGAGCUGAGAGAAGCUUGCUUUUCUUAGCUUAGUGGCGAACGGGUGAGUAACGCGUGAGUAACCUGCCCUGGAGUGGGGGACAACAGUUGGAAACGACUGCUAAUACCGCAUAAGCCCACGAUCCGGCAUCAGAUUGAGGGAAAAGGAUUUAUUCGCUUCAGGAUGGACUCGCGUCCAAUUAGCUAGUUGGUGAGGUAACGGCCCACCAAGGCGACGAUUGGUAGCCGGACUGAGAGGUUGAACGGCCACAUUGGGACUGAGACACGGCCCAGACUCCUACGGGAGGCAGCAGUGGGGGAUAUUGCACAAUGGGGGAAACCCUGAUGCAGCGACGCCGCGUGGAGGAAGAAGGUUUUCGGAUUGUAAACUCCUGUCGUUAGGGACGAUAAUGACGGUACCUAACAAGAAAGCACCGGCUAACUACGUG